rnacentral:rRNA from 1 species
GAAGGGCCCGAGCGUUAAUCGGAAUCACUGGGCUUAAAGCGUACGUAGGCGGACGCGCAGGCAUCUUGUGAAAUCCCUCGGCUCAACCGAGGAACUGCAGGGUGAACCGCGUGUCUUGAGACGAGUAGGGGCGGUCGGAACGCUAGGUGGAGUGGUGAAAUGCGUUGAUAUCUAGCGGGACGCCAAAGGAGAAAUCAGGCCGCUGGGCUUGUUCUGACGCUGAUGUACGAAAGCGUGGGGAGCGAACGGGGGAUUAGAUACCCCGGUAGUCCACGCCGUAAACGAUGUGCACUAGGUCGAGGGAGUUCUGACACUGCUCUUGGCCGAAGCAAAAGUGUUAAGUGCACCGCCUGGGGAGUACGGUCGCAAGGCUA